rnacentral:rRNA from 1 species
GACGAACGCUGGCGGCGUGCUUAACACAUGCAAGUCGAACGGAAAGGCCCUGCUUUUGUGGGGUGCUCGAGUGGCGAACGGGUGAGUAACACGUGAGUAACCUGCCCUUGACUUUAGGAUAACUUCAGGAAACUGGGGCUAAUAUCGGAUAGGAGCUCCUGCUGCAUGGUGGGGGUUGGAAAGUUUCGGCGGUUGGGGAUGGACUCGCGGCUUAUCAGCUUGUUGGUGGGGUAGUGGCUUACCAAGGCUUUGACGGGUAGCCGGCCUGAGAGGGUGACCGGCCACAUUGGGACUGAGAUACGGCCCAGACUCCUACGGGAGGCAGCAGUGGGGAAUAUUGCACAAUGGGCGGAAGCCUGAUGCAGCAACGCCGCGUGCGGGAUGACGGCCUUCGGGUUGUAAACCGCUUUCGCCUGUGACGAAGCGUGAGUGACGGUAAUGGGUAAAGAAGCACCGGCUAACUACGUG